AUGAAAAACUUCAUCAAGUCUCAAGUGCAAUCUUGCAUCAUUUGUCAACAAGCUAAACCUGAGAGGGUGCAGUACCCUGGGCUUUUAUCACCUCUUCCAGUUCCUCCUAAAGCUUGGGACACAGUUUCCAUGGAUUUCAUUUCAGGCCUUCCCUCUUCCUAUCAGUACAACUGCAUAUUGGUAGUUAUUGACAAAUUCUCCAAGUAUGGCCACUUCAUGGGCCUCACACAUCCCUUCAAUGCACAGAAAGUUGCUGAAAUCUUUCUGGACAACGUGUACAAAUUGCAUGGUAUGCCAAGGCUGAUCAUUUGUGACAGAGACCCCAUAUUCACAAGUGCAUUCUGGAAGAUUCUUAUUUCCAAGACUGGUGCUGAAUUAAACCUGAGUACAACUUAUCAUCCUGAAACAUAUGGUCAAACAGAGAGGGUUAAUCAGCAGAUUGAAUGUUUCUUGAGGUGUUUUAUCAGUGCCCACCCUGCCAAAUGGAGUAAGUGGCUCUCUCUGUGUGAGUUCUGGUACAACAACAAUUGGCAUUCUGCUCUGAAUAAAUCUCCCUUUGAGAUCAUUUAUGGCCAAAAACCUAGGUACUUUGGGAUUUCUGAGUCUGAUACCAUUGCUCCUGUGGAUAUUCAGUCUUGGCUCGACUCACGCCAGUUGGUGAUUGAUUUGGUCAGGCAACACUUGCUCUGUGUGUAG
rnacentral:rRNA from 1 species